rnacentral:rRNA from 1 species
AGAGUUUGAUCCUGGCUCAGGACGAACGCUGGCGGCGUGCUUAACACAUGCAAGUCACGGGGGCCCGCAAGGGUAACCGGCGAACGGGUGCGUAACACGUGAGCAAGCUUCCGAUUUGUGGGGGAUAGCCGGCCCAACGGCCGGGUAAUACCGCAUACGUUCAUCGAGCGGCAUCGCUUGGUGAGGAAACCUCCGGGGCAAAUCGAGGUGCUCGCGGCCUAUCAGCUAGUUGGUGAGGUAACGGCUCACCAAGGCGACGACGGGUAGCUGGUCUGAGAGGAUGGCCAGCCACAUUGGGACUGCGACACGGCCCAGACUCCUACGGGAGGCAGCAGUGGGGAAUAUUGCGCAAUGGACGAAAGUCUGACGCAGCGACGCCGCGUGUGGGAUGAAGCCUUUCGGGGCGUAAACCACUGUUGCCCGGGACGAACCUCCCCAUUCGUGGGGACUGACGGUACCGGGUGAGGAAGCACCGGCUAACUCUGUGCCAGCAGCCGCGGUAAUACAGAGGGUGCGAGCGUUGUCCGGAAUCACUGGGCGUAAAGGGCGCGUAGGUGGCUAGGUAAGCGUGUGGUGAAAGUCCGGGGCUCAACCCCGGAUCUGCCGUGCGAACUGCCAAGCUCGAGCGAUGUAGAGGCAGGUGGAAUUUCGGGUGUAGCGGUGGAAUGCGUAGAGAUCCGAAAGAACACCAGUGGCGAAGGCGGCCUGCUGGGCAUUUGCUGACACUGAGGCGCGACAGCGUGGGGAGCAAAC